rnacentral:rRNA from 1 species
UACGGAGGGUGCAAGCGUUAUCCGGAUUCACUGGGUUUAAAGGGUGCGUAGGUGGCUUUAUAAGUCAGUGGUGAAAGCUUGGAGCUCAACUCCGAAACUGCCAUUGAUACUGUUUAGCUUGAAUUAGGUCGAAGUGGAUGGAAUGCGACAUGUAGCGGUGAAAUGCUUAGAUAUGUUGCAGAACACCGAUUGCGAAGGCAGUUCACUAGCCCUAAAUUGACACUGAGGCACGAAAGCGUGGGGAUCAAACAGG